rfam:Oscillibacter sp. KLE 1745 genomic scaffold Scaffold316, whole genome shotgun sequence.
GGGGGUGUACCGGUUUCGACGGGGGUAUGGAGGCGGGACCAGCGGGCGGCGGCGCCUGACCGCCAUAAAACGGGCAAUUUAUAAAUCAAAUAACAACAGACAAGUUGCUAUUGCUGCCUAAUUAAAGGCGGCCGUCUGAACCGGAGUGGCCACAGGCCGGGGAAGGCGUCGUUGAUGUGGCGUCCGUGCGGCGGGGAAGAGUUGCCCCGCCCACGCAUGAUGACUCUCACCUGACCGGACGGCGUGACGGCUUGCCGUCCGGAAGGGGAACAGGGAGAAAGACUCCCGCAAUAACCGUCUGCGCCCGGAGAAAGUCCCGUUAAAGUGCUUUCGGACAGGGGUUCAACUCCCCUCACCUCCACCA